rnacentral:rRNA from 1 species
AACCCUGGCGGCGAGCGGCGCACGGGUGAGUAAUGCAUCGGAACGUGUCCUCUUGUGGGGGAUAACCAGUCGAAAGACUGGCUAAUACCGCAUGAGAUCGAGAGAUGAAAGCAGGGGACCCGCAAGGGCCUUGCGCGAGAGGAGCGGCCGAUGCCCGAUUAGCUAGUUGGUGGGGUAAUGGCCCACCAAGGCGACGAUCGGUAGCUGGUUUGAGAGAACGACCAGCCACACUGGGACUGAGACACGGCCCAAACUCCUACGGGAGGCAGCAGUGGGGAAUUUUGGACAAUGGGGGCAACCCUGAUCCAGCCAUGCCGCGUGUGUGAAGAAGGCCUUCGGGUUGUAAAGCACUUUCGGCCGGAACGAAAUCGCACGGGUGAACAUCCCGUGCGGAUGACGGUACCGGAAGAAGAAGCACCGGCUAACUACGUGCCAGCAGCCGCGGUAAUACGUAGGGUGCGAGCGUUAAUCGGAAUUACUGGGCGUAAAGUGUGCGCAGGCGGUCUCGCAAGUCAAGUGUGAAAGCCCCGGGCUUAACCUGGGAACUGCGCUUGAAACU